rnacentral:rRNA from 1 species
AGUGAACGCUGGCGGUAGGCCUAACACAUGCAAGUCGAACGGCAGCACAGUAAGAGCUUGCUCUUACGGGUGGCGAGUGGCGGACGGGUGAGGAAUACAUCGGAAUCUACUUUUUCGUGGGGGAUAACGUAGGGAAACUUACGCUAAUACCGCAUACGUCCUACGGGUGAAAGCAGGGGAUCUUCGGACCUUGCGCGAUUGAAUAAGCCGAUGUCGGAUUAGCUAGUUGGCGGGGUAAAGGCCCACCAAGGCGACGAUCCGUAGCUGGUCUGAGAGGAUGAUCAGACACACGGGAACUGAGACACGGUCCAGACUCCUACGGGAGGCAGCAGUGGGGAAUAUUGGACAAUGGGCGAAAGCCUGAUCCAGCAAUACCGCGUGGGUGAAGAAGGCCUUCGGGUUGUAAAGCCCUUUUGUUGGGAAAGAAAAGCAGCAGGUUAAUACCCCGCUGUUCUGACGGUACCCAAAGAAUAAGCACCGGCUAACUUCGUG